CCACUGCUCAGUUGGUAAAGCACAAAGUUCUUAACCUUAUGGGCGUGGGUUCGAGCCCCAUGGUGGG
rnacentral:tRNA from 1 species